GUCGCGGGGGGGAGGAGGAGGAGGAGGAGGGACUGAGUGGCGGCGGCCCCCGCGUCCCGGUGCCUCUAUGGGGAAAGCAGACAAUGGAUUAUGAUUUCAAGGCGAAGCUGGCGGCGGAGCGGGAGCGGGUGGAGGAUUUGUUUGAGUACGAAGGGUGCAAAGUGGGACGCGGCACCUACGGGCACGUCUACAAGGCGAGGCGAAAAGAUGGAUUCCAGGAGGGCUUCGUGUAUGGACCUCAGGCGUUGGAGGUAGCAGACUUUUCAGCAGAAGAUCGGCAUUGACAUAGUACAGUGGUGCGAGUGAGUCCAUAUGCCUCUUGGAUUCUGCCACUUCUUCAGAUGGUGAACCUCAGAGGUGCAGCAUCAUCGCUUAUCAUCUGACAGUUAAUAUACAAGAGAAAUGGUAAUACUACAUGUACUUUCUUUCAUUCUCAGUGCAAAAGCUGAAGAUAACUCUUAAGUUUGCAGAUCUUUGAGUGUUUUAUUAAUUUAGCAGAUGGAAG
rnacentral:lncRNA from 1 species